rnacentral:rRNA from 1 species
AUUGAACGCUGGCGGCAGGCCUAACACAUGCAAGUCGAACGAGUGGCGGACGGGUGAGUAAUGUCUGGGAAACUGCCUGCUGGAGGGGGUUAACUACUGGAAACGGUAGCUAAUACCGCAUACCAUCAGAUGUGCCCAGAUGGGAUUAGCUAGUUGGUGGGGUAACGGCUCACCAAGGCGACGAUCCCUAGCUGGCCUGAGAGGAUGACCAGCCACACUGGACCUGAGGGAAGUGCCAGACUCCUACGGGAGGCAGCAGUGGGGACUAUUGCACAAUGGGCGCAAGCCUGAUGCAGCCAUGGCGCGUGUAUGAAGAGGGCCUUCGGGUUUUAAAGUACUUUCAGCGGGUAGGCGUUACCCGCAGAAGAAGCGCCGGCUAACUCCGUGCCAGCAGCCGCGGUAAUUC